UACGAGGGGGGCGAGCGUUGUUCGGAAUUAUUGGGCGUAAAGGGUGCGUAGGCGGUUUGGUAAGUCUUGUGUGAAAUCUUCGGGCUCAACUCGAAGUCUGCACGAGAAACUGCCGGGCUUGAGUAUGGGAGAGGUGAGUGGAAUUCCCGGUGUAGCGGUGAAAUGCGUAGAUAUUGGGAAGAACACCGGUGGCGAAGGCGGCUCUCUGGACCGAGACUGACGCUGAGGCGCGAAAGCGUGGGGAGCAAACAGG
rnacentral:rRNA from 1 species